rnacentral:rRNA from 1 species
GAUAAACGCUGGCGGCGUGCCUAAUACAUGCAAGUCGAGCGAACAGACGAGGAGCUUGCUCCUCUGAUGUUAGCGGCGGACGGGUGAGUAACACGUGGAUAACCUACCUAUAAGACUGGGAUAACUUCGGGAAACCGGAGCUAAUACCGGAUAACAUGUUGAACCGCAUGGUUCAACAGUGAAAGACGGUCUUGCUGUCACUUAUAGAUGUAUCCGCGCCGCAUUAGCUAGUUGGUAAGGUAACGGCUUACCAAGGCAACGAUGCGUAGCCGACUUGAGAGGGUGAUCGGCCACACUGGAACUGAGACACGGCCCAGACUCCUACGGGAGGCAGCAGUAGGGAAUCUUCCGCAAUGGGCGAAAGCCUGACGGAGCAACGCCGCGUGAGUGAAGAAGGUCUUCGGAUCGUAAAACUCUGUUAUUAGGGAAGAAAAAAUGUGUAAGUAACUAUGCACGUCUUGACGGUACCUAAUCAGAAAGCCACGGCUAACUACGUG